GCCGAAGGGGGGACGGGGCUUUGCGUGCUCCGCCUCCCGGGAGUUGUAGUCUCUGCGAAAGGCAGGGGCGAGCGGCCGGGCGUGACGGGGACUGCCCUUCCCGUCGGGCGGCGCGGCCCCAUUGUGGGCACGCUCGCAGCCCAUUGGCUGCCGGCCGCGGCUGGGCCUCGCUCCCCGCCCGCUGACACAAAGCGGCUCCAAGAUGGCGGAGGCGGGCGCGGGGAGCCCGCACGGCGGGGACUCGGCGCCGCCGGGACCGCCCGAGGAGCAGGAGCUGAGCCGGCGCCUCCGCCGCCUCUACCCCGCCGUCAACCAGGACGAGACGCCGCUGCCGCGGUCCUGGAGCCCCAAGGACAAGUACAACUACAUCGGCCUCUCGCAGGGCAACCUGCGCGUCCACUACAAAGGUCACGGUAAAAAUCACAAAGAUGCUGCCUCGGUCAGGGCCACUCACCCCAUCCCUGCAGCCUGUGGCAUUUAUUACUUUGAAGUGAAGAUCGUCAGUAAAGGUAGAGAUGGGUACAUGGGAAUAGGACUUUCUGCUCAAGGAGUCAACAUGAACAGGCUUCCUGGAUGGGAUAAACAUUCCUAUGGGUACCAUGGUGAUGAUGGGCACUCCUUCUGUUCCUCGGGGACAGGGCAGCCCUACGGCCCCACCUUCACCACUGGAGAUGUGAUUGGCUGCUGUGUCAACCUUAUCAACAACACCUGCUUCUACACAAAAAAUGGCCACAGUUUAGGUAUAGCCUUUACAGACCUCCCUUCAAACCUCUACCCUACAGUGGGUCUCCAGACUCCAGGAGAGAUUGUGGAUGCCAACUUUGGGCAGCAGCCCUUUGUGUUUGACAUUGAGGACUACAUGAGGGAGUGGAGGGCGAAGAUCCAGAGCACCAUUAAGCGCUUUCCCAUAGGAGACAGGCUGGGAGAGUGGCAAGCCAUGCUGCAGAAUAUGGUUUCAUCAUAUUUGGUUCACCAUGGCUACUGUUCAACAGCAACUGCCUUUGCCAGAGUCACAGACACCACAAUCCAGGAAGAACAGACCUCAAUAAAGAACAGACAAAGAAUACAGAAACUAGUAUUAGCAGGCAGAGUGGGAGAGGCUAUAGAAGCCACCCAGCAGCUCUAUCCUGGCCUCCUAGAACAUAACCCCAACCUGCUCUUCAUGUUAAAGUGCCGGCAGUUUGUGGAGAUGGUGAACGGCACCGACAGCGAGGUGCGCUGCUUCAGCGCCCGCAGCCCCCGCUCCCAGGACAGCUACCCCGGCUCCCCCAGCUCCAGCCCCAGGCAUGGAUCCAGCAACUCACACCUUCACAGUGCUGGAGCAGAUAGUCCAACUUGUAGCAAUGGAGUCAUGUCCACGAAAAGCAAACAGAGUCACAGUAAAUACCCAACACUGAGUUCAUCAUCUUCAUCUUCCUCCUCCUCUUCCCCUUCAUCUGUGAACUACUCUGAGUCCAAUUCUACAGAUUCUACCAAAUCUCAGCAGCACAGUAGUACGAGUAAUCAGGAAACCAGUGACAGUGAGAUGGAAAUGGAGGCUGAGCAUUAUCCCAAUGGAGUCCUGGAAAAUUCAUCCACCAGGAUAAUGAAUGGCACCUACAAACAUGAAGAGAUCCUGCAGACAGAUGAGUCCAGCAUGGAAGACAGCUGCCCCCAGAGGCAGCUCUGUGGAGGGAACCAUGCUGCCACAGAGAGAAUGAUCCAGUUUGGACGGGAGCUGCAGAUCCUGAGCGAGCAGCUUUGCAGAGAGUAUGGGAAGAACACCAUGCACAAAAAAAAUGCUUCAGGACGCCUUUAGCUUGUUAGCUUACUCAGACCCCUGGAACUGCCCUGUUGGCCAACAGCUGGACCCCAUCCAGAGGGAACCUGUGUGUGCUGCUCUCAAUAGUGCUAUUUUGGAAUCGCAGAACCUGCCAAAGCAGCCGCCGCUGAUGCUGGCGCUGGGCCAGGCCUCGGAGUGCCUGCGGCUGAUGGCGCGGGUGGGGCUGGGCUCCUGCUCCUUCGCCAGAGUCGACGAUUAUUUGCACUGACCCCGGGCGGGACGGAGCUGCCGCGGAGUGCUGCCCCUCACCCUCUGCUGCUGCCACUCUGCACCACCUCGUGGAUAGCUGAGCUCCCUGCACCGACACCCCGAGCACACACACUGCCUGUGCCAGGACUGAGUGAGUCCCUCACUGUGCUGUCCUGCCCCAGGAGGACUGGCAGGUCUGACCCAUCUCCUGCCUUCGCUGCGGCUCCAGCGGCACUCAGUAUUUCGCUGGUUAUUCUAAUGUAGCCUUCUGAUGUAGGGAUUUUUUCUCUUUUGUUUUGAUUUGAGUUGUUUCUCAUGGUUCCACCAAUAUUUUAUCUGGAGAGUUUUGCUGAGCUGGUUUAUGCUGAUUUACUGAGGAAGCUCAUCAAGUUGGUGACAGCUUGUUCUUUCCUUCCCUUCUCCCUCCAUCGUGCACAUACAGCAUCAUCCGUGCUAGUAAUCCGAACUCUUCUCACAGUGGCAGUUCAGAGGGAAUUUUUUUUUAUUUUAUUUGAAUCAUGUUUAUUAAAAAGGUCUCUUCCACCUCCACAAAGUCAUUGAUGUAUUUAUUGCCCACAGACUCGUUCCCAGCCACACACACACACACAGCCCCUCAGGAGGCCGGGUGAGGUAGGUCCUGUCACACACUGAUGAUGGGAAUUGGAGGAGCCUGGUCCUUCAUGGUGCCUCUCUUUGGAGUCCAAAGCUCUCAAUUUUGGCUUUGUGAUAGGGAAGAGUAGAAGAGUGACAUUGUCUGCAUUGGUGAUUGUGCUGUAGAAGCAUCUCACAGCCCUGAGAAGGAGUUAAAUCCAGCUCUCUGAACAGCUGGAGGGGCAGGACUGAUGAAUAUGAAGUCAUCUGCCACUGUAUGGAUAGAACCAGAUCAUGUGAGUUGGCCAGAAGCAUCUGUGGGUGAUGCCCUGGUGGGCUGACAGUUUUUAAUUAAACAACAAAUCCUCCUUUUUCCCCAUGGAGGAGGGCUCUGCCACUAACUCAGUAAUAACAGUAUUUCCUGGCCUCUCCCAUCCCUGUAACACUGAUCUUAAUGAGCACUUCUAAAUUUUGGAAGUGUCUGGAGAAACCUGGGCUGAGCUGUGCUUGUCCUUGCAGAUGGGACAAGCUGAGGUCAGACUGCAGGUUGGGGUCAGUACCAGCUCUGUCGGGCCUGAGCCAUUCAGAAAGGAGCAGCAGUGUUUCCUUAGGGAUUAUUAAAAUAAUUAUUGAAGUUUCAGGCCCAAAAGAGACCAGUAAGGAUCUGUGGGUGAGUAAUCACUGAGUAAAAUGGACUAAUGUGUCCAUGCUGUGUGCCAGGCCCGGGGACUUGAGUGCUACCAAACAGAGCACCUGUGAGUGUUUCUGAGCAUGUUCUGUUCCCUGGCCUGGCAGCACCGUGUGAUUUUUAUCCUCUGCUGUACCCUUAGGAGAAGGCAGGGUCAGUCUGGCUGCAUGGGAAGAGUUGGAAUUCUGCACCAAAUUAAUUGUAGGUCAGUAGCUCUGAGGAGGACCCAAGGGAGCUCAAACUAAACAUGAAUUUUACUGCUGUUCAUGAAGUUUUUUGGGUUUUUUUGGAAGGUCAAUGAAUGAUGAACAGAUUUUGUUGAGGUUUGUCCUUAAAAUGGAGGUUAGCCUGUCCAGGACUUCAAGCACUAAGAGAGUUUGUGUGCCACUGAGAAGGAAAGUAGCGGCAGCCCAAAGCUUUCAGGAUUUUCUGGGUUUGCAGGAUGGAUUUGCUGCUGCCACCUCAGGUCUGAAAUCAAGGCAGAGCAGGGGAGCAGGUGCCAGGGCAGCCUGUGGCAGUGAAUGUGCAGAUGGUGUUGGAGAUGACUGGGAGCAUUAUCCCUGCCUUUGCUGAAGGUGUGCAGUGUGUGGGGGCAGUGCUGGAGCCAUGGUGGUCUCAGAGAACAGGAGGUUUAGAGCUGGAGGAGAUGGUUUUAUCAGAUCACUGGUACAGCUGCAGAAGGCAGAGGGAGCUCUACCACAGCCUUUAUUCCAGGGAGACAGAGAGCUGCACCAAGCAGGAUUGAACUUGCCAGUCUGGAGCUUCUCUUCCAGCUCUGGGGAGCAGCUCAUGUGCCUGAAGCUCAUCUGCUGAUUUUCAGCUCUGCUGCUGGAUCUUAGCCCAGCCUGCUGUCCCUGCCUUGCUGCAAGCACAGAGAGAACUCUGUGAGCAGGUUUCCUUCCCAAAGCCUGUGGUCCCAGAUGUGCCAAGGCAGCAUGUGAGCUCUGCCUGCUGGGAUUCUCCUGCAGGCUUUCCAUUCCUUAGUCUGGCAGCACACUGCUGGGCUGAUUCUGGGGACUGAGGUUGAAAUAAGCCAGGACCUUGCUUUGCCUUCCCUGUUUGGCAGCUUCUUCUGCUGUUGGUCACCACUUUGCAGCAGUCUGGCUGCAGUCAGACCUCUCUCAUCUUUGUAGCAGCACCAUCCUUAUCUCUUUCUGAGGAUUUUUUGGUCCUUUCUCUUUGUGGUUUCUUUAAGCCAAGUCUCUUCAUCAUGUAUCAUAUUAAUGCCCCAUUUGGUCUCAGCAAAACUUUGAUGACUGUCCUGGAGUGCCUUUUUUAUUUUGGUUUCACUACAAACAAAAAACCAACCAAGAGAUGUUCCUAGAUAUCUGGUUAUUUUGGUGCCAAGAAAUGUGUGAUGGAAGUUAUUUUGGUUUUUUAAAUUUACUUCAAGUGUUCUGGUGGUUUCACCAGUGGUUUCUGCUUCUGGUACUCAGAUUCUGACUAAUGUGGCCAUGACUCAGUGUGGAGAUCAGUGUGUUUGUGGUGUGUGGUGGGAUGUUGGCCCCAACCUACCCCUGAUUCCUAUAUGGGAUUUCUGGUGUGGUUUUGUCAGGUUGUAUUUCAAAGCCUCUUGCCUUUGUAUCUCCCUGGCUGCUCUUUGAUGGUUCAUGUUAGCUAAAACUUGGAUUAUUGCAGUGUUUUUUUAAAACAGAGCUAGAGUAAAAUGGGGUCUGUAACACUGAAUGUGGCUGUACACCUAACCAGAGGCUACAUGGCAAUUCAGAAGUUACUUUUAUAAAAAUUAUUUGGGUUUUGUUAUUCCAAGUGCCUCAAGCAACCUGGUCACUGCUCCCAAGAGUCCUUCAGUAAAACCAUGUAAAUGACAGUGGAGGAACUGCUGGUUUCCCAUUUCUGGUGAGGGACAAGGACUCAGCUACAGCCCCAUAGUGCUGGUGGCACUGGAUCUUCCAUCAUGUGUGGUUGACUCAGGUUGGUCUCUGCUGGGCUGGCUUCAGAUGCUGGGAGAAGUACAGAUGUGACAACUCCAGCUGCCCUUCCUGGCUCAUCCUUCCCUGCUGUCAUAAAGGGGCAGGUCCACAUGUGACAGUCCUUUUUUGCCACCAUACAGCAUCCCACCAGCCUGGGAUGGCUGCAGCACUUCUGUUCUUUUGGAGUCUGUUAGGAGUUGAGCCCUGUGUGGCCAGCAGAACAGAGAAGGACUCCCAGUGAAACACUGGACAGUACAGAGCCUCCAGCCCUUUCAGGGAAGUUGUCCAGUGGAUGCUCUCCCUCAGCCCCACGUGAGCCAAAGCUGGAGUUUGGUGCCUUGGGAUGUGUGAGAGGUGUGUGGUGAAAGAUGGAUGCUACAGCCUGUUUCUAUUUCAGCAUCCUGGUGGUCCUUGCUGUGCUGCUGCCCACUGGUUUGGACACUGGGAGGUGCAGUGUGGCUGGCAUGGAGAAUGAGCCCCUCUGGGAGUAUCACUCCUUAUGGUGACCUACACCUGGGAUCUUCCCAUAUCCUUCCUUCUCUUUUUUCACAGUGACAUCUCAAUCUGUUCCCAAACUGUGUCUCUGUUUUUCACGUUUUAUUAAGGCUUCUUUACCAUUCUUUAAAUAGCUUUGUUCUUGAGGCUGCCUUGAAAAACUGGAGCAGCCAGAACUGCUGGAGCUAGUUCUGGGGAUUUAAUGUAUAAUUUUCCACCUUGGGUAUCAGGGGUGAUGAACCAUCUCCUCCUUCAGCAGAGCAGACCAGGCUGGAGUGCAGCUGUGCUUUGGUACCUGUCUGUGCUAAUACACAGCACGUGUUGCUUAGACACACAUUUCAGAAUUCUGCUGUCCUGGGGUUGAUAGAGAAGGUGACCUAUGGCAGCCAGGCUGUAGAGCAGUGUGUAAGUGCCAUGAAGCUGUGUGGUGCACCACAUGGGGUCAGGGAGUUCUUCCCAUAAAGAAUCAGUGUAGACUUGAGCUGUGCUAUGGCAGCAGGUGGAGAGAGGUCCCUGAUGCUCCAGUCCUGGGUGCAGGGAGGCUCUGUGGAGCUGGUCACAGCCUGGGAGAAGGAGCAAGGGGCCCUGGUCCACCCAGGAGUCCCCUUUGCAUCUUCCUUCUGGCCCUGCCAGUGUGAGAGCAGCCUCAGUGCUGGGGCAGGGAGAGAGCAGGUCUCUUGUAGAGAGCAGGUGUGGGGUGUCAGCUGUACCAAGGUGUUUCUGCAGAAGGACAUGCUGGGUGCUGCUAGGACCCUUCUGCCCCAGAGGCAUGAGUGAUGGAGGGAGCUGCAAUCCAGCAGUUCUUGGUCAGAGCCAGAGCUGGCUGUGAGCCUUGUCCCAUCUGCUGUGUAGGGUUAGAGAGCUGGAGGAAGUGUUGCUGGGGCUAUGUGAGGGGAUUUGGGAGGAAAAGGGAGGAGUUGAGAGUCUGGAGGCCUCUUCCAUAGACAGCACUAGCUACUCUCUGCCAUCCUUCCCUGCAACAAGAGGUGGCAGGUGAGGGAUGAGUGUACCUGGCAUGUCUAGCCCUCUCCCCACAUCCCAAACCAGAGCUCAGAGCCUGCAACUUGAGCUGGACCAGUGCCUGGCAAGCCAGGGCAUCACCCAGGCUUGAGCACACGUUCUGCCAGCUCUUCUAUUUAACUCUCUCCUGCUCACAGGAAACCCACAAGUUCCAUGUGGAAUUUACACUCAUAUCACCACUGAAACAUUCCUGGAGGCCAUGCAAACCUCUGCUCCUUGCUGAAAGUGCCAUGGCCAGGCAGACACCUUUUCUCUGGUCACUCCACUUGGGUCCAGGCGUGUGCUUGGACAUUUUUGCUCGGGAGGACUUUAGCUGCAUCCUUCCUCCAGGAGGGAGCACAGAGGGAUUUUUGUAUGCUGGGCUUCUCACAUGCUUAGACUUGGAGAAAGGAGAAGCAGCAGCAGCUCUGGGGAUAAUCCAGAUUUUAAAGAAAAUUUGAAAACCACAAGUAUGGUGACUUCCAGACCAAGGACUGCACCGGCGCUGGGUUGGGAUCGUGUCUGUCAGUCCCACCUGUGCAGCCAGGGAGGCAGGAGGAGGCUGCAGCCCCUGAAGCUCUCACACUCAGCAGUGCAAGCCCCAGGACCUGCCCAGCAUGCAGUGAACUCUUCUGCUGGUUGCUCAAAACUCAGGUAUGAAAUAAAUGCUCAGCUGGAGCUUGGGGUGCGAGGUCUCCGCAGGUUUCCCGGCAGCCCUGGAGGAGCAGCUGCUGCUGGGCACAGCUCCCUGUGCCACUCCAGGCUUCUCAUGGCCCUCAGGAGGGAGUGUCACCUCCUGGGUACAACAUUGGCUACGUGGACAUUACACAAACUGUGCACAUUGGUUCAGUCUACGCUUAGUAUUUGUGAAUUAAGUUAUCUGAUGCUUCGCAUGAAAACUUCAAAAAAGGGGCUGGGGGGUGGAUUUUAACUGAGAAAAAGCCUAUGAAAAUAUACUGGAAAUAUGGUAAAGAAAUCGACAUUCUGCUGUAUAUUGACAGAAUUAUUUUUAUUAAAAUACACAUCCAUGUGCAAGA